rnacentral:rRNA from 1 species
UACGUAGGGUGCGAGCGUUAAUCGGAAUUACUGGGCGUAAAGCGUGCGCAGGCGGCUCUGCAAGACAGAUGUGAAAUCCCCGGGCUUAACCUGGGAACUGCAUUUGUGACUGCAUGGCUGGAGUGCGGCAGAGGGGGAUGGAAUUCCGCGUGUAGCAGUGAAAUGCGUAGAUAUGCGGAGGAACACCGAUGGCGAAGGCAAUCCCCUGGGCCUGCACUGACGCUCAUGCACGAAAGCGUGGGGAGCAAACAGG